UGGGGAAUAUUGGACAAUGGGGGCAACCCUGAUCCAGCAAUGCCGCGUGUGUGAAGAAGGUCUUCGGAUUGUAAAGCACUUUCGACGGGGACGAUGAUGACGGUACCCGUAGAAGAAGCCCCGGCUAACUUCGUGCCAGCAGCCGCGGUAAUACGAAGGGGGCUAGCGUUGCUCGGAAUGACUGGGCGUAAAGGGCGUGUAGGCGGUUUACACAGUCAGAUGUGAAAUCCCCGGGCUUAACCUGGGAGCUGCAUUUGAUACGUGUAGACUAGAGUGUGAGAGAGGGUUGUGGAAUUCCCAGUGUAGAGGUGAAAUUCGUAGAUAUUGGGAAGAACACCGGUGGCGAAGGCGGCAACCUGGCUCAUGACUGACGCUGAGGCGCGAAAGCGUGGGGAGCAAACAGGAUUAGGAUACCCUGGUAGUCCAC
rnacentral:rRNA from 1 species